GCGUUUUUAAUCCUUGGAGGGUUACUCGCGACCGCAUAGCUUUUCUACUAUGCGACCGCAUAGUAGAGUGAACUUCCAAAUUGAGUCAUUUUGAUCCUCAAAUUUCAUUCCUUCACUCCUUGACCUCCUCUCUUGUUUCUAGUUGCUCCAAUGUUCUAUUAUAACUUCCAAUUGGUGCUUAGCUUGAUCAAUUGCUUGAUG
rnacentral:lncRNA from 1 species